ensembl:snoRNA
UACUGAUGAUGAUCCUUUCUCGACGGGCGGACAUAAGGAAAUCGCCUCUGGCGCUUUUUGCUGAUUGUCGAGUCCUGAAUG